rnacentral:lncRNA from 1 species
CAUUUCUUCAUUCUAUUUUGCCCUGGGUUGGUAGCAGCACUGGUGUGUACCCCGGUUCUGUAGGGACUUUCUUCCUCUGGCACAGUUCCUUAGACCUUCGUGAUUGUUUCUCUCUUAGUGCUUUACCAGAGCUGUAGUGAGCAAAACUUUUCUAUCCAUGCAUGUGAUUGCAUCUGAUGUACAGUGGGAUCUGUGUUAGUGCAGAACAUGGGGUGGUAACACAAUCUUUGUAACAGUAAGUGCACAGGGUUGCCUGCUAAUACCACCUUAUCUUUUAAACUUGUGUUCAGCAUGGGAGGAAAACAGAGGCUGCAAUGGAUUUAAAAUAAAUGUUCCAUUUAUAACUAGUGUUAAAUAAACUGUUGGUUUUUCCUCCAGGCUGCGUGAUAUCUUUAGAAGGGAUUUGUGAGUCACAGUUUUCAUAUUACAGCCAAUGUGCUGGUUACAAACUGAUGCUUUUCAAUCACAUCAUGCUUUUUGUGAAUCCCUUCAAUUAGCAAAUAACUCAUCUUGUUUCUCUCACACAGCAGCAGAGAGCAAAAGCUGUAAACUGGAUUUCUUUCUCUGAUAUGAAAGUGUUUUCUCUGAGGCCCAUUCUAAUGCCCAGGCUGUGCUGAGAAGACUGGAAGAGUGCAGAGAAAUUGAUGCCUCUCAAAGGGAGGCUCUGGUUGCCUGUCUGGCAGAGGCAGGGGAACAGUCGGUGCUCACAAAGCUGUUGGGCAAAGUGAAGGAUGCGCAGCCCCUGGAUGCACAGACCCUUGUGUCCUUACUGAAGCUGUUUCAAGAUGUGAAUCCCACGCUGAGAACAGCCUUGCUGGAGAGGGAACAGGACAGUGGAGAAGCUCUGAAUCAAACAGAGAGCACGAAAGAGGGAGAGAUGCUGACUGCUCGUUUGCUGGGAUGCAGGGAGGAGCUGAUCCAGAGCGUGACACAGCUGAGCCCCAUCAUAGAGUUCCUGGAGGCAGCAGAAGAGGGAUUCCUGACCGCCCUGGAGAAGCGGGUAACAAAUCUGUGAGAAGGAAAGCUUUGUGGGCGAGGGGUGUACGUGUGUGUCUGCAAGGCACUGUCUUUCCAUGUGGUUAUUCACAGGGUGAUUUCCCUUUGCACAGCAUGGACUGCUUGUGA